GCAAGAUUUCACGAGCAAGGGGAAGCAUCGAAGGCCACCUUCGAACUGUAUACAACCAGAAAUCCCUUAUCUUGGCUUUCAAUCUUGAAAAAGCUGAAAUUGAUGGAGUGGAUGUUGAAGAUGAGCGUAUCUCAAAAGUGGGUGAUGCCUCAGCUUCGUUGCUUGAAGUAGGAUCAUCCCUAAAUGCAUAAUCCACCAUUGAAUCAGCCAGGGUGAUGCCAUGGGAAGCUGCUCUAGAACUGACUCUUUCUGCAAUAUAUGGAACAGCUGACUGAUAGAAGAUAAAAAGAGUACGUCUUGCAGGUGUUGGCGAAAGUCCAUAUGGUCCUGCAACCUGAGUGAUAUCACAGUAUUCUUCUCCUAAUGUUUGCUUCCCUGCACCUGUUGUCAGCAUAUAAUAGAGCAUCUGCCCUAAGAGUUUUGCCUCGUUCUGGUAAGUUACAGCUACUCUUGUACCGAAGAGGUGACGAAAAGCAUCACGGCAAGCUUCAUAGACGAAGGAGGCAUACUGGUCAUCUUUCUCGGCGGCCCUCAUAAUCUCCGGCUGCGCUGCGAGCGGAAAUCUCUUGACGCUGCUGCCGGAAGUUGAUGCGCCACCGCCGUCACUGUUUCCGGCAUUGGUUGAAGUUCUAGAAGGU
rnacentral:misc_RNA from 1 species